ensembl:lncRNA
GUGAGUAAAUGUUUCUGCAUGUUUCCUUUUGGCUUGGAGAUUUGAAGAAAAAUGGUUUUAUUUGCUCAGAUAUUUCAAGUUUUCCUGGUCUUGGUUUGGAGGAGCUCUCUGUCCAGAAUACGUUAGUUCUGGUUUAAGGGUACGCUGCAAAGGAGGGGGAGCAAAAUGGAGUGAAGCUUUAGCUCCAAGGUCAGAGUCAACCUGGGCAGGAGAGCAGAAGUGCUGCCGACCAACCCCUACUCGUCCCCCGGGAACCUCACACCUGAGCAGGGCAGUCUGCUGGUUAGCGCGAUGCGUUAGACUUCAGAUUUUAGAUUAGUCUAGAGAGGCAGGUUAGGUGCUAUAUCCAAGAGCAGGAGGCCAUCUGCAGUUUCUCACCUUUUAACUGUGUGACCAGCCAGUGGAAUAGCCACCUGUACCGGCCUGCCCGGCCCCACCUGGUGGGAGAGAAACAGGAGACCGAUUUACCUGGCCAAGUGUGCCAGGCUUGUCAUUCUGUUCAGAUGCCCACAGGGGGCUUGCGUAGCCGGUGAGGUUUCAUGUACAAACCCAUCUGGAAUCCACAGGGUGGGGAACUCCAUUCCUCGGCCAUGUGCUCACCCUCUGAAGGACCCCGUCUGCUUCCCUUACUCAAGGCACUUCCUCGCCCCGAGAGGGCUCACACAGGCCAGCCAAGGCUGCUCACUGUUGUCCUGAAAUGUCCAUCCACCCAUCACUGGGACCUGCCUUUGUCCUCAGAAGGCCCCAGCAUGAUGCGAAUCAUUUCUUAGGAUGGGCAUCCCAGGUGCUCUGUGAAACGGUGGGAGUGCAAGCGGGCAUGCCCAUGUGAAAACAAGAUCGUGUCGGGUGGGUCCUGAGGCCCAGGCACUGGAGGAGACACAUCUCCCUGUGUCCUGCCACUGAAUGUCCCAUGUCUGGACAGCCCUGAAGUGCGCUGUGACCUCCAACAGGGAAGAUGGUUUCAGCAGCGCUGCAGUGACUGAUGCGAGCCCAGCAGAGAGCAUUGGUUUAUCAGACUUGCUGUGAAUGGAGCGCUCAAGGAGACCUCCCAGCGUGGAACAGAGAAGAGCAAUCUCACAGGAGAAAGCAGGAGAGAGGCGCUGUGUGGAAGGUCUGCGAGUCAUCAUCUCCCAUAAUCCUCACACACAAAAGAGGUGAUGUCUGCACGUUCCACAGACAGAAAACGGACCUGGAGAUGUGGAACAGCCUGCCCGGGGCAUGAGCUGGUGUGUGGCCAGGCACUCGGCGGUGUGACCCACGGCCUGGGCUCUGCUAGUGAGGGAAGCCGUGUCCUGGCAGCAGCGGUGGGGAGGGACCUCUCAGGGGCCGGGGGUUCCAUUCUGUGCUGGUGCCUGCUCAUGUGUUUCCUGUCUGCCCUUAGGAAGCGGGGCUGCAGUGGUGGGAGUGGGGAGACGUGUCACAGGAUGCCAGUAACAGAGCCUCAUUCACGACCUUGCGUGGUGUCUGACUUGUCAUUUGCUGGUUUUUAGAAGCAGCUUGACAAGAGGAGAAAAGGAGGUCAGGGUGACCUCGGCUGACGUGGGCAGACUAGUGCACGUCAGGGAGCACACACAGUGCACCGUUACCCCCUCAUCCCCUGGACGGCGAGGACCCCUGACUCCCAGGAGCACAGCACUGCCCACACCCCUGCUCCCUGGGUCCUCCUAAUGUGGGAUGGAGCUCUGCCCAUCCAUGUCUGGGAUGCCCCGUAUCCCGGUGCCAUCAGGAUGGGAGCAGAGAAUUGAUUAUUUUCCUUUUACUUUCUUUUUUCUUGUUGUUCUCCCCCCAAAGCAUCUCUCAAGUCCAUCCCCUCCCCUCCAGCUACCCAUCGGAGCCCCAUCAUCUCUCACCUGGAUCCCUGCGCAGCCUCACUCCUCUCCCUGCAAACCCGGCCCCACGGGGACCACUGAAACUUGCAUCAGAGAACAUCACGUGAUGCCCUGCUUCAAGCCCUCAGGCUGGACCCUCUCGGAACCUCGAUGCUCUCUCCAUGGCCCACAGGUCCUGUGCCAUCUGGCCCCUCCGCCCCCUCCCCCUCGCUCUGCCCUUGCUAUCUGGAGCAUUCUGCCCCAGGUCUAGGCAAGGCCGACUGCUGCUCAGAGAUGCCCUGCAGGGCCCCCAGCAAGGCUGCUCGCCCACCUCUCCUCAGCCAGGACCUUUCACACCUAUCACAUCCCUCUGGUUCUGUCUGUCUGAUGUCUGCAGUGCAGCAGGGGCCUCUCUGCCCGGCCCCCUGCCCUCUCCCCAGCUCCCGGAUGGUGCCGGCCCAGGCUCAGCAAACAUCUGAAUAAAUGAAUGUCUGAGUGGAUGACUGGGAAAGCUGGGAGAGAAGGUGCAGUCUCCUGGGACUUAACCUUGGGGGAGUGGGGAGGGGUCCGUGAUGCCACGCUGCCUGAACUCCUGCCCCACGCCUGGGAAGAAGGAAUACCGGUGGUUUUUCUUCUUUCUUCUGUGAACUCCGGGGCAGAAUGAGAGCCAGGGCCGGGG